GACGAACGCUGGCGGCGUGCUUAACACAUGCAAGUCGAACGGAAAGGCCCCUUUGGGGGUACUCGAGUGGCGAACGGAUGAGUAACACGUGAGUAACCUGCCCUUGACUUCGGGAUAACUUCAGGAAACUGGGGCUAAUACCGGAUAGGAAUCCUUGCUGCAUGGUGGGGGUUGGAAAGCUUCGGCGGUUUUGGAUGGACUCGCGGCUUAUCAGCUUGUUGGUGGGGUAGUGGCUUACCAAGGCUUUGACGGGUAGCCGGCCUGAGAGGGCGACCGGCCACAUUGGGACUGAGAUACGGCCCAGACUCCGACGGGAGGCAGCAGUGGGGAAUAUUGCACAAUGGGCGGAAGCCUGAUGCAGCAACGCCGCGUGCGGGAUGACGGCCUUCGGGUUGUAAACCGCUUUCAGCAGGGGCGAAGCUUGUGGUGACGGUACCUGCAGAAGAAGCACCGGCUAACUACGUG
rnacentral:rRNA from 1 species